GCAAACUUGGUCAUUUAGAGGAAGUACAAGUCGUAACAAGGUAUCCGUAGGUGAACCUGCGGAUGGAUCAUUACUAAAGUAUCCAUCCUACGUUUUGUGAACUGUUUUGACUGACAUAGUCAGUGUCUGGUGUGCUGUAAUGGCCAUCGAUGCUGACUACACUGAAUGUAUAUUUAAACUGACUGAGAGUACUAUACUAAUAGUAACCAAUGAGAACUUUUAGCAACGGAUCUCUUGGCUCUCGCAUCGAUGAAGAACGCAGC
rnacentral:misc_RNA from 1 species